UACGUAGGCAGCAAGCGUUGUUCGGAGUUACUGGGCGUAAAGGGUGUGUAGGCGGUUCUUUAAGUUUGGUGUGAAAUCUCCCGGCUCAACCGGGAGGGUGCGCCGAAUACUGAGGGACUAGAGUGCGGGAGAGGAAAGUGGAAUUCCUGGUGUAGCGGUGAAAUGCGUAGAUAUCAGGAGGAACACCUGUGGUGUAGACAGCUUACUGGACCAUUUCUGACGCUGAGACACGAAAGCGUGGGUAGCAAACAGG
rnacentral:rRNA from 1 species